UUAAAUCCGUGUGUGUUUCAGACAGAUGGACGUCUCUAUUUCGGUACGUUUAUACAAUAUUAUAUAAAUUAAAAUAAUAAUUCACGAUUUUUUAAUUGAAUUAAUUUGUAACCAUGAAUAGAGUAAAAUAUAAACAUUAGUUUGUGCUAAGAGUGUACAAUAGGUAUUUGUAAGAAAAGACAGAGGCUUUUCCUUUUGGUCAGACCUUUAGACCCGGGGUUGAAGGGUGCAGUUACCGGACCACUGGGCACCCUACACGUAUUUUUUUUUCCAAGAUAGGCUUCUGUAGUUUUGUUUAUUUGAUUGCAUACUCCUUUUUUUUGUGUUGUUUUUUUUUUCAAUAGAUUGUGUUCAUAACUGUCUGAAUUUAUCAUGAAAUUCUGAAUUUGCUUCACUGUUAAAGUAAAUAACGGUUUCUUACCGAAAUCAGCGAUAAAAUAUCAUAAUCAAUAUGUCUUAGGUCCGAGUGAGAAGCCAUAAAGGAAAUAUUUACCCUAAAAGCUAAGAUAUGACAGCAAAGGCCUUUAUUAUAACUAUAUGUAAUUAUAACAAUUAGGGAUAUUUAGAAUAUCUAGUGGAUAAGGUGUCGGCUGCUGAGUUCAGGGUCGUGGGUUCAAGCCCCACUGGGGUAGCGGCCAUGGCUUCUCAGGCGGCACGUAUAGUAAAAGCUGGUAGGAACUACAUUUUGGACUAUUUUAUUACGCUUGCUGUAACCAGAUUUUCCUCCCUUUGCAAACGUUUUCCAUUUGCAUUCAUAACUGGAGAAUGGAGGAGAUGGAAGGUCCUUGUGCUGAAUUUAGUAAAGGUUUUUGUGCUGAAUUUAGUAAAACAGACCACCGGAGGAAGUGGUGAGAGACUGGCAAUGAUGUACUGAACGAGCAUGGUGGAAAGACAACAUAGUCUAAUGGGGUUUGUCAUUAGCCUAACAUGUGCAUAGCCUGCUUUGAUAGAGAGCCUUCAGGAUAUAUUUUCAUCUAUGUGACCUUACCGCCUGUAUAUUUUGUACAGUACAUAUUUUUAAAAACAAUGUAGGAAGAAAUACCCUAAAUGUGGAAGUAAAAUUGAAGCUGUCAGAAACAUUUAUAACUAGAAAGUAUUUGAUAAUAUAAUAGCAAUUCUGACAUAAGUACAAUCAAGGUAGAUACUUAAGAGCGGAAAGCAUUUUAAGUUGAACUGUUUAUUUCUUUCAAUGUAGGACACAAUGGAGAAUUGUUAACAUGCUUUUUGAAUUUGGAAUAUUAGAAACCGAUGCGUCUUUGAAAUUUAUUUAUACUGUGAACAGUAUUGGAUAUAAAGGCAACAUCAAUGUUAAGUUAUUGACAUCUUAUUUUUAUAUAACGUUGAACCAGCUAUAAAGAUUCAACCAUGGCUACAUCUUGUAUCUAUUAACUUACAGGACAUAAUGGAAUAUCUAUAAUGUUAAGUUUGUCUUUGAAUCAUAAUAUAUCAGGCGAACAAGAGUAAAAGUUGA